UGGGGAAUAUUGCACAAUGGAGGGAACUCUGAUGCAGCGACGCCGCGUGAACGAAGAAGGCUUUCGAGUCGUAAAGUUCUUUUAUAUGGGAAGAUAAUGACGGUACCAUAAGAAAAAGCCCCGGCUAACUACGUGCCAGCAGCCGCGGUAAUACGUAGGGGGCUAGCGUUGUCCGGAAUCACUGGUCGUAAAGGGUUCGCAGGCGGAAAUGCAAGUCAGGUGUAAAAGGCAGUAGCUUAACUACUGUAAGCAUUUGAAACUGCAUAUCUUGAGAAGAGUAGAGGUAAGUGGAAUUUUUAGUGUAGCGGUGAAAUGCGUAGAUAUUAAAAAGAAUACCGGUGGCGAAGGCGACUUACUGGGCUCAUUCUGACGCUGAGGAACGAAAGCGUGGGUAGCAAACAGG
rnacentral:rRNA from 2 species